UCAUCACAAUCGUCAGAGGAUAAAAACUUGAGGCAUUCACUAAAAUUAAAAAGUUUUUCAAGGGAUUUCAAAGAAGCACUCGAAAUAAAGCUGCCUGGGUGGAAUUUUGAUAUAUCUAAAUGGCAUCGUUUAUUUCCGGCCGGUGUUCCAACGAGUAUAGACGGGAAUGUGUCUGGCUAUUUUGUUUUUCAUUUUAUGCUCUGGUGGAACGGUAAAGAAUUGGUCAAGCCGGUUUGCGCGGAUGGGUAUGAAUUGAGGAAGCAUUUUUUAUUAUACUUGCUAAAACAUCGCGGGAAUGAAGCUAGAGGAAACUUUCCUGAUA